AACAGCGUUAUUUUUUUAAAGAGUUCAAAUCGAAAAAAAAGUUUGCGACCUCGAUGUUG
rnacentral:tRNA from 1 species